rnacentral:ncRNA from 1 species
GGGAGAGUGCGGAAUUUUGCCCUGUCAUAAGGGGGCCGCCACCGAAGGCGCAACCGCCCCGGAAACGCUCAGGUCAACGGACCGUUUG